AUACGGAGGAUCCGAGCGUUAUCCGGAUUUAUUGGGUUUAAAGGGAGCGUAGGUGGAUUGUUAAGUCAGUUGUGAAAGUUUGCGGCUCAACCGUAAAAUUGCAGUUGAAACUGGCAGUCUUGAGUACAGUAGAGGUGGGCGGAAUUCGUGGUGUAGCGGUGAAAUGCUUAGAUAUCACGAAGAACUCCGAUCGCGAAGGCAGCUCACCGGGCCGGAACUGACACUGAUGCUCGAAAGUGCGGGUAUCAAACAGGAUUAGAUACCCUGGUAGUCCGCACAGUAAACGAUGAAUACUCGCUGUUUGCGAUACACUGUAAGCGGCCAAGCGAAAGCGUUAAGUAUUCCACCUGGGGAGUACGCCGGCAACGGUGAAACUCAAAGGAAUUGACGGGG
rnacentral:rRNA from 1 species